rnacentral:tRNA from 1 species
AAUUCUGUUUCAAAAGAUUUUCACUCUUUUUUUAUCAAAAAUUACAGAAUU